CCAUUGGGGAAUUUCCGCAAUGGGGAAUCUUCCGCAAUAUGGGGAAUGGGGAAUUUUCCGCAAUGGGCGAAAGCCUGACGGAGCAAUACCGCGUGAGGGAGGAAGGCUCUUGGGUCGUAAACCUCUUUUCUCAGGGAAGAAGACAAUGACGGUACCUGAGGAAUAAGCAUCGGCUAACUCCGUGCCAGCAGCCGCGGUAAUACGGAGGAUGCAAGCGUUAUCCGGAAUGAUUGGGCGUAAAGGGUCCGCAGGUGGUACUGUAAGUCUGCUGUUAAAGAGCAAGGCUCAACCUUGUAAAAGCAGUGGAAACUACAGAACUAGAGUGCGUUCGGGGCAGAAGGAAUUCCUGGUGUAGCGGUGAAAUGCGUAGAUAUCAGGAAGAACACCAGUGGCGAAAGCGUUCUGCUAGGCCGCAACUGACACUGAGGGACGAAAGCUAGGGGAGCGAAAGGGAUU
rnacentral:rRNA from 1 species